ACCACAGCAGUUCCCUGAGCCGCAAAAGAGGUCCCAGUGACUUUAAUAGAUGAGAACUGGACUCUGGUCUUUCAUUCACGGACGGUGCACUGCUUAAUACAUUGUGUUUUAACUGUAAGCCCCAAAAAUGAGCUGCACAAAACCGGGUUAAGACCUGUCCUGCUGGCAGACCAAGGUUAGCAAGAACAGAAUGUGAGGCACCAACAGGCAUGUGAGGAAGAGAAGCACACAGGGGAAGCCCAAGAAUGAAAGAACAAAGAGAAACGAGACAGAGUCACUCCACACAGCAGCAGGCAGAGGGGAAACCCUGCUGCAUCAAACUGGGUCACCGUCGGGAUCGGAAUCAGCAUCUCUUCUCCUUAACAAAAGAUUUCCAAAUGAAAUGCUUGCUGCUGAGCGCUUCACUGCUGGGAGUCUCUUCCUGGGUGCACCACAGAAAGCAGAGCUCCUUCCAGCAGCAGGGAUGGUUUAGAGCACAAAGGCCUGAGAAUAAAUCUCAAACGCGCUGACUGCCAAGGACUUGAGCCCAUAGCCCCGGUAGCAGGCAAAAUUGACUGGGAGCUAUCUUAUCAGCCUGCCUGGGAAUUAGGGGCAGAGGCAGAGGCGCCCGGGAUUCCUGUCAGCUCUGACCAGUCCACAGCUUCUGUCAGACACAGAUUCACACUCCCCUUUCUUGGCUUAGCCUCGCUGCCUGCAUGAAGUCUGACAGCCCUUUACUCAGCAGGAAAGUUCAGCCCAGAUAAUCCACGGUGCAGACAACGGUGCUCAAGAGAGGAGAGACACAUGAAGGUGUUUGUAGAUUGGGCUCCCCACUCUGCUGGUUUGCUAACUCCCAUGAUUUCCUCUGCAGAGGUGAACCCAGCAUUUACUCUAUUAUUCACUAAGAAGGACUAAGAACAGAGAUUGUCAAUUAUCCACCAGAAGCAUGUGACCAGCUCUAUUUUCCAAACCAACUCUACAAGCCAGAUUUUUUAAAAAAUUCACACCUUCCAUCUCUUCUGAAACCUUUAAAACGUUCUCUGAAGUGCAAGGUUCAGUCGCUCAAACUAGAAAUAAAAAGAAAUAUUUGCAACAUUUCCUUAAGACGUCUUAUAAAGGAAUGGAAACUUGUACCUAAGGAAGCACAGAAAUGGCAAGAAAAGUUCAUUGUGCUCAUCUCUAUCAGCCCCUGGUCAGCUCCUGUUGAUUGACUAUGAAGAAAGAAAAUCUAAGCAGUCCUGUCACGGGGAAUUUGUCCUUCUUCCUGUGUGGUGCUGUGGGAAAUAUCUUUCUCUUGCUCUCCGAUUACACUCUCAGAAUGCAGAAGUCUAUGAGAGGAAGAAGAUUAAUUAAAGAUGAGACUCCUUUUUCCUCCCCACCUUUGUGGAGUCACCACUCGGGCUGUGUUUAGUAUGAUGUCGCUGGUUUUGUACUACCCAUAGCCCUGGCUAAUGAUCCUUUCGGCUUCGAAGGCCAUAUAGUCUCAUCUGCAGCUGUUCAAUCCUGCUUCAGUUUAUACCUCGGAGAGACUCAUGGGUCAUAUACAAAUGGACGUGAAGGCAUUCCAGCAUAGAAUUUGCAAAUCGGGCUGAGAUUUUGGAAGUCUGGUGGACAGGCUGUGGCUUGCUGACCCCUGGCUCUAAAUAGUUGAGUAUCCAAAUGUAUCCAAACGCAUCCAAAUAUAUCAACAUGUAUCUUAAUGUAAGAAUAGAGUUGCUUUUCAUCUUCUCUAUCCACUCAUCUCUUUAAAACUUCAGGCACAUGGAUCCAGUGUGGGUAUGAAUGCUUGCAAGAAAUAAUCCGGGCACCACACUUGCUGGGCAAGC